AUGACUUUGGUGGUGUUUCUUCAUCGGCCAAGUUUCUACAUUAAGGCUGAAUACGUGGCUGGCACAGGAGCUGCCUUCUGGACAAGAGUUCUCUCCUUGCUUGUCCAGCUGCAGGGAAGAUACUUUACCUGCUGUCUCUGCAGAAGAUGAUGCAAAAGAGAACCCAAGGACAUUUUCAGUGGAAGAUAAUGCACAGAAGGUGUACAAUACCACUGGUUGUCAAAGAAGCGAAGCCAGGGUCCCUUCUAGUGGGUGGUAGGUAAGAAUUACUAAUCCAAUCUGCUUGAGUUAACUCAAAACAAGGAUUAGUGUAAAGUUCCAGAAUAUGUUAAUCUUCCUUUAUAGAAGUAAACUUCAGCUCUGCCACCAACCCCAUGGUUUAUAGUUCCUGGGAACAAUGAGCCAAUUAAACUUGAGAGGGA
rnacentral:lncRNA from 1 species